rnacentral:lncRNA from 1 species
AGUUAAUGUUUUAUGUAGUAGUGAUUAAAGCAUAAGUCUUGCAAAGGAAAGAUACAAUUAUAUACCUGAUCUUUGAAGAUUUCUCUAGAACCACAACAUGGCUUAACUCUCCCUAACUAUCAUCUAGAUCUAGUCUACUUGUACAUCUUGAAAGCUUCGUAGAGAUUUCACUCUUGUGGUGUUUUGUUCUGAAUGAGAGAUAUGAAGUAAGGUUUCCUAGAUGCCUCAAUGAGGGGGUAGGGGCUGCUAUAUAUGGGGGAGAUGGAGUAGGGGCAAGGAAUUGCCAUGUCAUGGAUCAACAUCAUCUCCCUUGAUCACCAUUGGAUGAACCGACUUUACACCACCUUAAAAUCAAGGGUCUGGAUCUU